CUCCUGGUAAAAUCAAGAACAGAACUCGUGAAUACUUUAGCAGCAGUCACCUUACACUGACAACAAGACUGGGGGAUUUCAUAACCCAGAUAAAAUAAAGCUUUGGUACGUGCCAUCCCUACACUUAGAAGGAAUAGAAGAAGCACUUAUAUCCAGUUGCUCAGGCAGAAAGGACCUAUAUCCAAAAAUGAUCUUCCACGCUGAGCCAUUCCUGGAGCAGAAUGUGAAGAUCUGGAACAGGAGAAACUGACCCUCCAGUGCAAGCUGCAAUUACCCUCUCCCUCCCAAAAAGGAACAAGUACAUACCCUGCAUACAUUUAAUCUCAGAAAUAAGUUGAUGGG